UACGGGGGGUGCGAGCGUUAAUCGGAAUUACUGGGCGUAAAGGGUGCGUAGGUGGUUUAAUAAGUUAUCUGUGAAAUUCCUGGGCUUAACUUAGGGGGGUCAGAUAAGACUGUUAGACUAGAGUAUGGGAGAGGGUAGUGGAAUUUCCGGUGUAGCGGUGAAAUGCGUAGAGAUCGGAAGGAACACCGGUGGCGAAGGCGGCUACCUGGCCUGAUACUGACACUGAGGCACGAAAGCGUGGGGAGCGAACAGG
rnacentral:rRNA from 1 species